rnacentral:lncRNA from 1 species
UGAAAUGUCAUUAUCAAGAAAGAAAUGCAAAAACUGCACGAGUUACAAUUGUCACCAAGAAAGUGACACAGACCACAGUGGCUGCCCCUAAUUACUGAAAAGUGCAAAAAACCAAUUAAACCACUUAAGAAAGAUUACACAACAAAACUAAUAGAAAACCCACCAUCUUCUCCAGACAUUUCACACACCAGAAAAAAGAAUAAAAGAACAUACAACCAGACAAAAACAUAGCAGCCCACCGCCCUGGAUUCUUUCAUCAACGUCGCUACAGCCACCAUUUUGCUCCCUAAGGUCAGUAGCACUCAGCGAACGACAAUGGAACCUGUAGAUCUGAAUCGUCAGAGACCUCAAUAAUCAUUUUCUCUAACUCGUUCAACUCCUUCACCUCAAAUUUCUUCUGUCUCUUUCGGCCUCUGCUUCUACCCUUGGCGGCGCCUCCUCAAUCCAAACCCUCAACGACGACCACUGUUUUUCUUUCUCCGCCAAAGCAUGCGUCGUUUGAUUCCCCGAUCUACCCACAAAUCUAAAGGUGAGUUCUUGGAAUCUUUGGUCCCUUUCUUUAAUUUCCUUUACUAACACAACAAUGCUUCAUCUAUCCUCCCCCAGUGAUUGCACUUUUUUUAACUACGGUCACGGAGUCCCUCUCCACCACCAAUCUCUGAAAUCCCAAUUCUUCAGCCACUAUCACCGUUUGUACAUAGGCUCUUGCCUCUACCGUAGUUGGGUCGGACACAAAAUUAUUUGGGUAUGUACAUGCUGCCAGAAUAUACUCCUCAUUGUCUCUAAAAAUUAUCCCUGUCACCGAACUAUGAUCUUGCUUGUUAAACACUAUCAAAGUUAACUUUAACCACAUUUGUCAUCGAUGGAUACCAUGCAUUAUCAUUCUAAACAAUGUUAGUUGCUAUAGAUGUUUCAACAUUACUAAUCUCUGUGUAGUAAGCUUCAACAAAAGAAACGAGGCCAAACACAUUUUAUCUUUCACCAUGAUGAUAGAUUUUGUUUCUAUGAUGCCAUACUGCCCAGAAAACAAUAGCUAACCAUUUACAUUGUUCUUCACCACUAUUAACAAAUAAAUUUGCUAACCAUAUUUUCCAACUUUACCCCAGGUUAAUGGGUAAGACAUCUAUACCCACCCCCAGCAGGAUCCGCUUGGUGAACGAGCAGUCCCAGCAAAUGUGGCUCACCGACCAUUAGAUGACAGAAGGGGAAACAAUUUACCACCACCAACUUUCUCAGUUGUAAAUUAUCAAAUGUAGGAAUGUAAUUGUUAGCCAAUUUCUAGAUUGUAAUUUUUAUCUUACUCGCAAUUCUUAGUCUCCACAAUUUGUUGUAAAAAGUCUGUAACAUUUCCUAAUGUACCCCCUCCCCAGUAGGUAUUACCACAUCCCCAUUUAGUAGCCACUUAUACCCACUCCUUGCUGAAUAUACUCUUGUAUUAUCACCUCUCCAAAGUCUCUCAUCCCCUAGCUCAAUUACGACAAGUGGAAUGGUUAUUAUUCUGCUCACUUGCUCCUCAUCAAAUAGCUCUUGCAAGGCCUUUGAUUUCGAGGUAGCCGACUCAGUAUUAAUAAGAUCUACCACCACUGUGUAGUUAAUAUCAAUGUUCUGAAUUGCUACUCUUCUUUGUUCAGGGCCCAGUAACCAAGCAUCAUUCCAAAUGUUUAUUAAUCUGCCAUUUCCCACUCUCCACCCCAUACCUUGUCCCAGAAGUCUUCGAGCACCCCAAACGCUCCUCCAAGUAUACGAAGGGUGAAAUCCUAAGUCGACACUCGUAAAGCCAUUAUUUGGAUAGUACUUAGCUUUCAUGACUCGAGCAAAUAGAUAAUCUGGUUUCAUUAUUAGCCUUCAUCCCUAUUUAGCAAGCAACCAAUAUUGAACUUUGCUAAGUCCUUAAAACCCAACCUUUCUAAUACUUUCAGCUUGCAAAUCAUCUUCCAAUCGCACCAAUGGAUCCCUUUCUUUGUUAUAGAAUUCCCCUACUAGAAAUUACUAAUAAUACUUUCCAAACUCACGACAUGGAGUAACACACAACAAAAACUAUUGCAUUGUAUAAACUGAAAUAGCUUGUAAAAUUGACUUGAUAAAAGCGACAAUUGACG